rnacentral:RNase_P_RNA from 1 species
UAGGUACAACAGAUAGAUACUUGACCUUGUUCAAGAGGAAAGUCCGAGCUGCUAUAAGACAGUACUCCAUUUAACUAAUGGCCGUAGUAAUACGAGGGAAAGUGCAACAGAGAUUAGACUUCUAUCCUUAGGGACAGUAAAGGUGAAAAGGUAGUGUAAGAGACUACCAGUCUUUAUGGCAACAUAGAGAGCUUGUAAACCCAGUAUGGCAGCAAGAAACAGGUGGUCAGCGUCUUAUAAUGCUACUGUUUCGCUAGAGAUACCAUGUAAAUGGUAAAGUAGAUUAAUACUAUCAAAACAAAACUCGGCUUACGUUGUACCUAUACU